GUGGUGCGCGCCUGUAAUCCCAGCUACUCGGGAGGCUGAGGCAGGAGAAUUGCCUGAACCCAGGAGGCAGAGGGUGCAGUAAGCCGACACUGUGCCACUGACCUCCAGCCUGGGCCACAGAGCAAGACUUAACCUC